UACGUAGGGUGCAAGCGUUGUCCGGAAUUAUUGGGCGUAAAGAGCUCGUAGGCGGCUUGUCGCGUCGACUGUGAAAACCCGAGGCUCAACUUCGGGCUUGCAGUCGAUACGGGCAGGCUAGAGUUCGGUAGGGGAGACUGGAAUUCCUGGUGUAGCGGUGAAAUGCGCAGAUAUCAGGAGGAACACCGAUGGCGAAGGCAGGUCUCUGGACCGAUACUGACGCUGAGGAGCGAAAGCGUGGGGAGCGAACAGG
rnacentral:rRNA from 1 species